rnacentral:misc_RNA from 1 species
GAAAUGCGAUAAGUAAUGUGAAUUGCAGAAUUCAGUGAAUCAUCGAAUCUUUGAACGCACAUUGCACCUCACGGUAUUCCGUGAGGUAUACAUGUUCGAGCGUCGUUUGAACUCUUAAGACUCUGUCUUGUGUUGGCAUUCCUGGGGUAAAAGCCAGGGUGCUGAAAAUGAUUGGCGCACGAAACGUUGAGGCACCCAAUAAAAUGGGCUGAACUCAAACGGUGCGGGCCGCCACAAAACCUUAUUUAAACGUUCGACCUCGAAUCAUGUAGGAUUACCCGCUGAACUUAA